AUGAAGGUUUCGGAUNGUAAAACCCUUUCCGCAAGGGCGAAUAUGUUGGGUGUUAAUAGCGCCCGACAUGAGACGGUACUUGCAGAAGAAGCUCCGGCUAACUCCGUGCCAGCAGCCGCGGUAAGACGGGGGGAGCAAGCGUUGUUCGGAUUUACUGGGCGUAAAGGGCGUCUAGGCGGACUAACAAGUCAGGUGUGAAAUCCCACGGCUCAACCGUGGAACUGCACUUGAAACUGUUGGUCUUGAGUACGGAAGAGGAAAGCGGAAUUCCUGGUGUAGCGGUGAAAUGCGUAGAUAUCAGGAAGAACACCGGUGGCGAAGGCGGCUUUCUGGUCCGAUACUGACGCUAAAGCGCGAAAGUGUGGGGAGCAAACAGGAUUAGAUACCCUGGUAGUCCACACUGUAAACGAUGGAUKCUAGGUGUUGGGGAACCRACCUCCCCRGUGCCGAAGCUAACGCAUUAAGUMCACCGCCUGGGGAUUACGGUCGCAAGAMMAAAACUCAAAGGAAUUGACGGGGGCCCGCACAAGCGGUGGAGUAUGUGGUUUAAUUCGACGCAACGCGCAAAACCUUACCUGGGCUUGACAUACCGAUCGCACCUBMUGGAAACAUUASGGUCAGCUCGGCUGGAUCGGAUACAGGUGCUGCAYGGCUGUCGUCAGCUCGUGUCGUGAGAUGUUGGGUUAAGUCCYGYAACGAGCGCAACCCYYAYYSACAGUUGCCAUCAMAUAAUGCUGGGKACUCURGGAGACUGCCGGUGWCAAACCGGAGGAAGGUGGGGAUGACGUCAAGUCAUCGUGGCCCUUAUGUCCCGGGCUGCAAACGUGCUACAAUGGCUGGUACAAAGGGAAGCAACACCGUGAGGUUAAGCAAAUCCCAAAAAACCAGUCUCAGUUCGGAUUGCAGUCUGCAACUCGACUGCAUGAAGUCGGAAUCGCUAGUAAUCGUGGAUCAGCAUGCCAUGGUGAAUACGUUCCCGGGUCUUGUACACACCGCCCGUCAAGUGAUGAAAGCUGGGGGUACCCAAAGUCGUUAGCCUAACCGUAAGGAGGGCGGCGCCUAAGGUAAAACUAAGAGGCAU
rnacentral:rRNA from 1 species